AAUACUCUGACAGAACAGUUGAAUAUAUUUAAGGCUGUUGAAGAUUUUUCAAUGACAAUGGAACAACAAGUCAUGGAAACAUGCAGGAUGCAGAAGCAAAGCCAUAAUCAGACGAGCCUUACUAGACAGGCAGAAGCUUGGGAGUCCUGGUGGCUGGUUGGUCCAUCCUUUGUUCCAGCUCUCUGAUAUGAUUGUCAGUCACAAGACCA